UGGAGCCUCAAAAGGUCCUUUUAUUAGUAAGGAUGAGAGAGAGAGGUUAGAUGUAGUUCCAAUUACAAGAGUGAAGAGGUAGAAAAAGGCAAAUGACGACGGAAAUAACAAGCCUGAGGAAUCAAAGACCAAAAAUAUCUUGUCGCCCUUCCGUGUUCUUCUUUCAUGAUUUUGUUGUUCUGUGGAAGAUUGUUGCAGGGUGUUUCAGUUUCAGAGAUGGGGGAAGUUUAAGACUUGAGGCUUGAACACAAUCUCUGGGAAGUAAAAUCGUUUCAAUCGUUUCUUUCAUUUCUGGGUUCUCGUAUCCUGAUUUGGAUUUUCCGUCUGGUUGAUUUUGUGGGGUUGAUGCUUUCAUGCUAGUUAAUUAUGUGAUAUAUAUAUCUUCUGUGCUUAGGCUUAUGGUCAGGGGGCUUAUUUGUUAUUGUUUUCAGGAAACGUUCUUUCUUGUUAAUUCAAGUUCUAAAUCCGAACUAUUCUCACUUCUGGCAAGGUCUUACGUUGUUUACUUGUUUGCAAGUCUAUUAAAGACAGUAUGAGUUCGUUCAAUAAGAAUCCAGUACAGAUAAUGGGCUGCAUUUUGCUUUUGUUACCGUGAUGAUAUGGUAAAUGACGAGCUGCUAACCACAAUGUCUCGUUUAGUCAGGAGCACUUUAUGGAAGCUCGACAGAACAAUACCUGUUUCCAUACUCAUGACUAAAAUUUUGCAGAUAAGUGUUUCCCGUGACGUUUAAAACCACAACCAGGAGCGUCCAAUGACUUCUUCAAAACUCAAUGACCCUACAGUGAAGAACAACAUCUGGAAGGAAAAGACGAGGUUGAUACUCAAGAAACUCAAAGUGAAAGCUAUGACAAUGCUUUUGACCUCUCCUUUCCUGAUAAUGAUUGUCAGAGAAUGAUAGGCUAGCUUUAAUGGUUGCUCAGGAACUCAUUGCUAACUUACAGUUGGAAUUCGGUCAUCGCAUACUUGCCUGGACAUAAGCCUUUCUAAGCAGCUAGACUUAGCUCAACCUCUUGUUCGGUGCCGGUCUCUGGUUACAGCUGCUGAGCACCACUUGGUCUUUGGUACAGAAUUUUCCCAUGUCCUAGAUGCGGCAAUUUCCAUGCGCUUUGAGAUGCACUCAGUUAAAUGUGACAAACCUUACUUUACUGCAAAGUGCCACUGCUGUGGAUUCAAUAUGCCAAGCUUCCUGAUGUGCCAACCUUUACAAUAAAGAAGACUAUUCACGGGUGUCAUACAUUGGUAUCUUGCACCUUGGUCACUAUCAAGCUCCAGUGGAAUAGGUUGCUGAGGCUGUGAGAGAAAGGCUGAAACAAAAUCCAUAUUGCAAACCUAAGGAGAUAGUGGAGAAAAUUCACCAAGAUCAUGGAAUUACACUAUCAUACAAGCAAGCAUGGACGCGAGGGGAGGAUGUAUAAUGGAUGCUGUUGGCGGGUCAUUCGAAAAAUAUGCUUUCUUCUUUCUUUCUUUUUUGAAUAAAUGUUAAAUGUUAUUCAAAGCAAAACCUUUUUACAUCAAGUGCUUCUAUUUUUGGUGUAGUAUUUAACUUCUAGAAAAUCCUAUAAGGCAAAAAAUCUUUAUGGUUCUGA